AAGACCUGGCAGCGUGCAUACACCUGCAGGUGAACGCGAAAGAAUCCUUCGGGCAUUUGGACGUACGUGGCGAACGGGUGAGGAACACGUAAGAAUCUACCUUUCGGUUGGGGAUAACUUCUGGAAACGGGAGCUAAUACCCAAUAUGCUGUGGAGUGAAAGAAUUUCGCCGAGAGACGAUCUUGCGUCUGAUUAGCUUGUUGGGGUGGUAAUGGCACACCAAGGCGACGAUCAGUAGCUGGUCUGAGAGGAUGGACAGCCACAUUGGGACUGAGACACGGCCCAGACUCCUACGGGAGGCAGCAGAUGGGGAAUUUUCCAGCAAUGGACGAAAGUCUGACGGAGCGACGCUGCGUGAAGGAUGAAGGCCCGUGGGUUGUAAACUUCUUUUCUCGAAGAAGAAAAAAAUGACGGUAUUCGAGGAAUAAGCAUCGGCUAACUCUGUGCCAGCAGACGCGGAUAAGACAGAGGAUGCACAGAUGUUCAUUCGGAAUGAUUGGGCGUAAAGAACUCUGUAGGCGGAUCUCUAGAAAAGUCUUAUUGUAGAAAUACUUCACGCUCAAGCUGAGGCUCCGAACAACAGACACUUCUAGACUUGAGGACAGUCAGAGGUACAGGGAAUUCCGGGUG
rnacentral:rRNA from 1 species